rnacentral:lncRNA from 1 species
GCAUAAAGUGGGCAAUAUGAAGAAUCUUCUUUUGCUCAGAUGGGUCACGGUUUCCUGUAGAGUGUGGCCACCUUUAAAAGAAGAAGAAGAAGAAGAAGAAGAAGAAAAAAACCCUUGUAUUUCCAAAGUCUCUUUCCGCAGUGUUUAUAAAAUGGUCCAAUUAGAUGUGAGCGCAAGUCUGCUUGGUGGAACUUGCAGGGAAAAGUGUUUUGCUGGUGAAAAAGAACUCAUACGGCUGCCAUGAGUCUCUAAUCCGUUUUCAGCCGUCUUCAUGGCUGAAAUUCCGACAAAAUGGACAGAGGUGCGGCGGUGAUCUAGCAUUCUGGAGAGGGAGAGCCGUCCCCUGACGCUGGUGGAAGAACGCAGCAAACCCGAGAUUCAUGAGGCCCUUUCGUGACUCCACCCACUUUCUAUCUCUUGGUGAUUUGAACACAACAAAACUCAACCCUUCACUCUGAGGCAACUGUUUGCUAAAAAACAAAACCCACAAGAACAACAACCAACCACAACAGUGACAGUUCCUUUAAACAGAUAGAGAUUUUUUUUUGCUGCACAAAUAGCAUCCUCAUUUCAUAAAGCUUGAUUUGCUUACAUUAAAGAUUAUUUAAAAUGUCCACAUCCAUAUGUAGUUAUUUAAAAAUAAUCUUGUUUUAAUGAAAUCCCUGUUUAAGAAAUAAUAAGUCAGUCAGGCUGGUGGUGCACUGUAAUCCCAGCACUCAGGAGGCUGAGGCAGGAGGAUUGCUGUGAGUUUGAGGCCAGCCUAGGCUACAGAGCGAGUUCAAGGCCAGCCUGAAGCACAUGGUGAAACUCUGUCUCAAAAGGUAAAAAUAAAUGAAUAAAAUAAAAAAGAAAGAAAGAAAGAAAUAAUAAGCCAGCAAUUUUAAUCUUGCAACCAACAGAAAUAGGUUCUUUAAAAAAUGUGAACAUUUCACUACUCGUGUACUCAUACUGUCUUAUUUAAUGCUGUCUGAGUGUUGGAUUUAAUUGAGCAUCUCUGUGAUGCUUGAGUUCUUCCCUUCCUU